AUGCCUUGCGUGGCGGCCAUCCGACACACCACCGCCGCCCUACAAAACUCCGUUGACCCCCUCUAUCGAACCCUAGUUGUUUUCCCCCUCUUCCUCCUCUCCCUCGCUCUGGAUCGAGCUAUUAGCCACGUACAGGAGCACACCGCCGCGAACCACCAUGGCCACCGACGCCCGUUCGCCGUCCGCUGGUCCAGAAGGAACGCCGUCAUCGUCUACGUUGGCUUCGGGGACAGAUCGCGCCGGGGAGCCGCCCCAUCAUCGCCACCGUCUUCAUCUUCACCGUUGGUCGCCGAAGCUUGUCGCUGUCGAUCUGCCAUCAUCAGCGCCUCCCCGAGCCCACCGACCCGCCCUACCUGA
rnacentral:rRNA from 1 species